AUCACUUCUCAGCCUUUUGGCUAAGAUCAAGUG
rnacentral:snRNA from 1 species